AUUGAACGCUGGCGGCAUGCUUUACACAUGCAAGUCGAACGGCAGCGCGGGCUUCGGCCUGGCGGCGAGUGGCGAACGGGUGAGUAAUGCAUCGGAACGUGCCCAGUAGUGGGGGAUAGCCCGGCGAAAGCCGGAUUAAUACCGCAUACGACCUGAGGGUGAAAGCGGGGGACCGAAAGGCCUCGCGCUAUUGGAGCGGCCGAUGUCGGAUUAGCUAGUUGGUGGGGUAAAGGCUUACCAAGGCGACGAUCCGUAGCUGGUCUGAGAGGACGACCAGCCACACUGGGACUGAGACACGGCCCAGACUCCUACGGGAGGCAGCAGUGGGGAAUUUUGGACAAUGGGGGCAACCCUGAUCCAGCCAUGCCGCGUGCGCGAAGAAGGCCUUCGGGUUGUAAACCGCUUUUGUUCGGGAAGAAAUCCUCUGGGCUAAUACCCCGGGGGGAUGACGGUACCGGAAGAAUAAGCACCGGCUAACUACGUG
rnacentral:rRNA from 1 species